GCUGGUGUGGCUCAGCGGCGACAGCACGAGUUUUGUAAACUCGCAUACAAACACCGGGGGUUCGAGUCCCUCCACCAGCACCA
rnacentral:tRNA from 1 species